AUCAAGAACAGAGAAAUUUAGGAAUUUCCAGUCUCCUUCUCAUGUUGAACAAGUCAAAAGAGAAGCAGCUGAAAACGAGAGGGAGUUAUUGGGACAGCUACUGAAGGAAAUGGUGCAGAAUAUGAAUGCUCAGCAGAGAACUUAUGAAGAAAAUGUGAAGGAAUUGAAAAUCAAGAUGGAGGAAGAGCAGAAACAGAUCCUGAAAGAACAGGAAAUGAUCCUGGAACAUAAGCUAAAGGAACAAAGGCGGCUGAUGGAAGAAGGGUUUCAAGAGAAAGCUGAGAAGAUGGAGAAAGAGAAUGACGACCUGCGAAAAGAAAUUU